ensembl:snRNA U1 U1 spliceosomal RNA
AUACUUACCUAGCAAGGGAGAUACCAUGAUCACGAAGGUGGUUUUCCCAGGGCAAGGCUUAUCCAUUGCACUCCGGAUGUGUUGUCCCUUGCGAUUUUCCCAAAUGUGGGAAAGUUGACUACAUAAUUUGAGGUAGUGGGGGACUGCAUUCACGCUGUCCCCUG